rnacentral:rRNA from 1 species
AUUGAACGCUGGCGGUAGGCCUAACACAUGCAAGUCGAGCGAGCGGCGGACGGGUGAGUAAUGUAUGGGGACUGCAAGAUAGAGGGGGAUAACUACUGGAAACGGUGGCUAAUACCGCAUACUAUCGGAUAACCAAUAUGGGAUUAGCUAGUAGGUGGGGUAAAGGCUCACCUAGGCGACGAUCUCUAGCUGGUCUAAGAGGAUGAUCAGCCACACUGGGACUGAGACACGGCCCAGACCUCUACGGAUGCAGCAGUGGGGAAUAGUGCACAAUGGGAGCAAGCCUGAUGCAGCCAUGCCGCGUGUAUGAAGGAGGCCGUAGGGUUGUAAAGUACUUUCAGCGGGGAGGCGUUACCCGCAGAAGAAGCACCGGCUAACUCCGUGCCAGCAGCCGCGGUAAUUC